GCAGCUGCCGGACACCAGGAGACGAUGGAAGGUCUAUAGUGUUACAGCUCUGACCCAGGAAGUCCCAGGGUCUUGCCUUCCAGAAGGGUCGCGGCUCUUCCCUCCCUCAGUCCAACGAACAGGAGCACGUCACCUCCCGCAGCUCGGGGAGCUGGCCAGGAACGUGUUACAGCCCGUUUCGCUCCUGUCCGCAGCUGGGUGAGGCAGCCAGGAAAAUAUUACAGCUCUUCUCACGCCCGCCAUUCAGCAGGUCCUGACUUCUUGUGUGACAUCCAGAAGAAAGGGGUUACACAGACAGCUGGAGGGUGAGCAAAGUGGAGAAGUUCUCAGCAGAGAGGAGACUGGAGUGAGUUGCCCCUACCCGCAGGUGCCAACUGUAAUACAUCAGUAGCUGAACAGCUCAUUGCCCUCAAGUGUUCUUGCUCAUGCCUGGCUGAGUUAUUGAAGAAAUUGCUCAGAUCUCAAGCCCUUGUAGAUCACUGGUCCUGGCAGAUGUUGAAAGACAGCAUUCAAGGAACCACCUUGUACGCAGACACUGAAACCUCGCGAGACAACAAAACUGCUGACACCUUGAUCUUGGACUUCCCAGCCUCCAGAACUAUUUCGAACUAUAAAGUAUACCUAUUCCUCAAGAACAAACCGAACACAAACCUGGGAGAAAAAAGAAAGACUGAAGUGGAACUAAAUAAUAUUGAAACCAACAAGCAAUACAAGAAACCAGCAAAGAGUACAUAGAACAAACAUUUUUUUUAGAAGGAUUAAAUGGGACAAUUAAACAAUUUGAUCAGCAUAAUGUCCAGCUCAAGGAUCUUGGAGGUGGUGAGGCAGCCCAAGUGGAAAGGCAGCAGAAGGGGUAUCCUUGUUUUACCAAUUACUCAUAUGUAGGAGAUGGUGCAUUAAAUGAAAUAUUCUCUGCUCUCUCCUAACAUCUACCCCCUCACACCAAGAGGAAGGCAUGUCGCCUGAACCUUUGCAGUAUUCAAUUAAAGUUCUAUUCACACGGUAUUGCAGUUGUUUGCUUAUCUUUCUUUCUUAUUAGACUUAAAACUUCUGGAAACUAGAGGCUAUAUUACUUAUUUGCCUCAGAGUCCUGUUGGCCUAUCAAAUGGCACACCUUCAAUCCAAGAAUGAAUUAAUUAAAUAAAUGUGAAGAAAAAAAAAAUCCAAGUUGCUUAUUUUUGUUAAAUUUAUUUUUCCCCAAAAUAUUUACUGAGAAAAUGACUCUGGGAAGAUAGCAGAGUGGAAAGCCCCAGAAAUGUGUUUCCCCACCUAGACAACAACUGUACUGGCAGAAUCUGUUUGAUGUGACUAUUCUGAAGUUCUGAAUUGAAUAAAUAUGAAGAAAAUACAAA
rnacentral:lncRNA from 1 species